rnacentral:lncRNA from 1 species
AGUCGACCACCGCCCGCCACCGCGCCGGAGGCACCUCCGACUGCCAAAAAUGGUAAACAUUCUCUUAUCUGCUCUAAAUUUGAUUCUGAGCACCCCUAUGUCCAAAUCAGAGUAAAAGGAAGGAUGAGUGAGCCAGAAACUGCGGAUAAAGCUCGGCGGCGCCGUCGCGGGCACAACCUGAAAUCGCCUCCUAUGAGCCCCUUUCUAUUUCCUGUUUCGUACGACUUUUCUAUUUUUGUGUUCACUGUUUUGUUUUCUACAGGUUGAUCAAAGAAAAACGCCUAGCCGUAAAGGUGAGCCGGGGAGCCGUCGCCCUAGAAAAUUCUACUGUCAGCAGGUUUUCAUUUUUUCAUUUUUUUGGGCCAAACGAGGCCUCCUAACGUGCUUUCUCAAAGGGAUGGGUAUAAAACCAGCUAAAAGGGGCUAAAACUAGCAAAAAACGGCCAAGUUGAGGCAAACCGCCGUCGCGGGCAGCGGUGCUGUCACCGGAGCACAGCGAUGCCGCUGUGCUGAAAUUUUAAAAU